CCACCUGUCCGCAAACCCUCCCCCAACCCGCACGCAUCGGCACCGCAUCUCCUCGCUCUGCCGCGCCGCCGCCGCCGCCAUGAAGCGUUCCUUCGACGCCAUGGAGGCGAAGCCGGUGUUCCUCUCCAAGGAGGAGCGCCAGCGCCUCGCGCUCGAGCGCCGCCAGGCGGCCGUCGCCGACCAGCGCCGCUCCGCGCUCGACAUCCUCCAGUCGCUCCCGCGGCCCCCUCCGCCGCCUCCCCCGUCCGUCGCCCCCCGGGACUCCUCCUCGUCCCACCGCGACCCCUCCGACCGGGACAGGGGGGACAGGGGGGACAGGGACCGCGACCGGGACCGGGACCGCCGCCGCGACGACGACUCCCGCCGGGACCGAGAUCGGGAUCGCGACCGCGACCGCGACGAGCCUUCUCGCCGGGACCGGGACCGGGACCGCGACCGCGACCGGGACAGGGAGCACCGGGACAGGGAGCGCGGGGAGCGGGACAAGGACCGGGAGAAGGACCGGCUGGAGAAGAUGGCGGAGAGGGAGCGGGAGAAGGAGCUGGAGGCCAUCAAGGAGCAGUACCUGGGGUCCAAGAAGCCCAAGAAGCGGGUCAUCAAGCCCUCGGAGAAGUUCCGCUUCUCCUUCGACUGGGAGAACACGGAGGACACCAGCCGCGACAUGAACAUGCUCUACCAGGCGCCGCACGAGGCCCGCCUGCUCUACGGCCGCGGCUUCCUCGCCGGCAUCGACCGGCGCGAGCAGAAGAAGGCGGCCGCCGUGUUUGAGAAGGAGACCCGUGCUGAGCAGCGCCGCAAGUUCGGCGUGGAGGACCGGCCCGAGGAUGAUGUGGCUGAUAAGAAGAAGGCCGCCGCCGCGGAGAUGUAUGAUGCCUUCGACAUGCGGGUGGACAGGCACUGGUCUGAGAAGGGCAUCGAGGAGAUGACCGAGCGGGAUUGGCGUAUUUUCCGCGAGGACUUCAAUAUCUCCUACAAGGGGUCUCGCAUACCCCGGCCGAUGCGCAACUGGCCCGAGAGCAAGCUUGGGACUGAGCUGCUUCGUGCUAUUGAGAAGGUUGGGUACAAGAAACCAUCACCCAUCCAGAUGGCUGCCAUUCCGCUUGGUCUCCAGCAGCGUGAUGUCAUUGGUAUUGCCGAGACAGGUUCGGGCAAGACUGCAGCUUUUGUGCUUCCUAUGCUGUCGUACAUUACUCGCCUGCCGCCUAUUAGCGAGGACAAUGAGGCCGAGGGUCCUUAUGCUGUUGUCAUGGCACCUACUCGUGAGCUUGCUCAACAGAUUGAGGAAGAGACGGUCAAGUUUGCAACCUAUCUAGGCAUUAAAGUCGUUUCCAUUGUUGGUGGUCAGUCCAUUGAGGAGCAAGGUUUCAAGAUUAGGCAGGGCUGUGAAGUUGUAAUUGCAACGCCUGGUCGGCUUCUUGAUUGUCUGGAGAGAAGGUAUGCUGUGCUCAACCAGUGCAACUAUGUUGUACUUGACGAGGCUGAUAGGAUGAUUGAUAUGGGAUUUGAGCCACAGGUUGUUGGUGUCCUUGAUGCGAUGCCAUCAAGUAACCUGAAACCUGAGAAUGAGGAAGAGGAACUGGAUGAGAAGAGGAUUUACAGGACAACUUAUAUGUUCAGUGCCACCAUGCCACCUGCUGUCGAGCGCCUUGCGAGGAAGUACCUCCGGAACCCAGUUGUCGUCACAAUUGGUACAGCUGGCAAGGCCACAGAUCUGAUAACCCAAAAUGUGAUCAUGGUGAAGGAGUCAGAGAAGAUGUCACGACUCCAGAAGAUACUCACAGAUCUUGGGGACAAGACGGCCAUUGUAUUCUGCAACACAAAGAAGUCAGCAGACAACCGUGCCAAGGAUCUGGACAAGGCAGGUUUCCGCGUCACAGCACUGCAUGGAGGGAAGUCACAAGAUCAGAGGGAGAUCAGCCUUGAUGGAUUUAGGAACCGCAGGUUCAAUGUUCUUGUGGCGACUGAUGUUGCAGGGCGUGGUAUUGAUAUUCCUGAUGUCGCUCAUGUUAUUAACUAUGAGAUGCCUAGUUCAGUUGAUACAUACACACAUCGCAUCGGAAGAACAGGGCGUGCAGGAAAGAAGGGACUUGCCACUUCAUUCUUGACUCUGGAUAACACUGAUAUUUUCUUCGAUCUGAAACAGAUGCUUACUCAGAGCAAUAGUCCCGUCCCUCCAGAACUUGCUAGGCAUGAGGCGUCAAAGUUUAAGCCAGGAUCGGUUCCCGAUAGACCUCCAAGAAGAAAUGACACUGUCUAUGCAUCUCACUGAAGCAAUCUGCCGCAGAAGAGGUGAGAUUCUUCUUGGGUACAAUUCAGGGCCACCUUCUACUGUGUCGAGAUUUAGUACUUACGAGAACUGGACCUAUGUAUCUUAUUGUACUGUGGGUGCCAUAAUGCAACUGUCAUGCCCAAACAUCGACUGCUUUUGAAGUGUUAUUUGCAGAGGGCAAAUGCUCAAUCUUGAUCUUCAUUGUGGAGAUUUAUGUGGUUCUUUCAACAUUAUAGUCUCAAGAGGUGCCAACUUUCUUAUUUCCUUUUUUUGCUGUUAUAUGCACUUCAGUAUUCAGUUCUAGAGGCAUGUAUCACUUUUUAAGUAAGCUAUAUGUAAAAUGAGACUUGAAAAUGACCCAGCUACCAUGCCAAAAAACAUUUUGAUUGUGUUGGGUCUCA